rnacentral:lncRNA from 1 species
GAUGAAAGUAUCCAAGUUUGGACCGAUUUGGGUUGUAAAAAAAUCUCCUCUCCCUGCUGUCCUACAUUUCUAGGCACCAAUAAAGAUAAGUCUUGGGUGACGAAAAAGGGUAUAGUGGUCUCAUUCCCUUCUGAAAUAUCAAGUGCUGCACCUGUUAGUGCCUGUCCACAGAUGGGGCCUUAUCUGCCUUAGUUCCCUGUCUACAAAAAGGGACAAAUUGGAUAUUUGGCUGGGUGAGCUCGACCAGAUUCAGUGUCCUGGCUCGGCUUGAAUGUUGGCGUGGUGUUGGUGCUUGUAAGCCAUGUAUUUGUGUCCAUGUUGUGCUGGCACCCUGGGAGUCUUUCUCCACUGAGUUGUAUACAAGUUCAGAGAUAAUUGAUUACAUGUUCAGCUACCUUGAGUGCUGAGUUCAGAAAAGUUCCUCCCAGUCCUCAAGUUCCAGCUUUUGUUCACUAUUUGUGUGAGGUAAGAAGAAGAUGAAAUUCAAGAAGUGGUUUCUGAAGAGGAGUCUGCUUUAGUGCCUGCUCAACAAGUAAUGGGAGCCAUCUAACUGGGGUUUAAUAGAGGGAUUUAGACCUCCGUCUCUGCAACAAAGGAGAAGUUUUAUUCACUUAUCUUUGGGUUAGUUACUUCAUGUGGAGGACUUGAAGCUUAGAAUGUUUUUAUAUAUCUCUUAUGGAAAGGCUUCACCCUUCCAAUUAUUGUAAUAAGUUAUGCACUUCGAGUACUAUCAGGACUUGUAAUAAAUACAU